CUUUUCUUAGUAUAGAUUACGUGACCUGGUCAAAAUCAGAGACAAAAGUGUUUGGAUGUAGUCAAGUUAUACAUUUGCUGUAUUACUAAUAAUCUUCAGUACAAGCAUGUAUAUUUUUUUUGUCCCCAAAUCACAAUCUUUUAAAACUUAGACAACUUUACUUAUGUAAAAAUAGCAGAACUGCAUAAAAGAACUUCAAGAAUCUGAAGAUGUGCUAACACAUAAGACCAUGGCCUCUCAUUCUAUUUCCUGUACAAUUCCUGGGAAAUUCUGCCUAAUUGAUAUAUGAAGGAAGCUUGUGAUCAUUGACACAUUAGAGUGUGGUAAUUGACUGUGUGAUUUGACUUUUUUCCUUCUUCUUUUUCAUAUGAACAGAUAUAAACCCAAAGAGAAAACUAUCAGGUGUAAAAUUAAUGGUUGGGAAAAACCUCCAGUGUGCACUCUGAAGAGAAGAAGUUACUGAACUUCUGGACCGACCAUCUUCUAGAUGCAAAUUUUAUUUUGAACAAUCUUUAAACUCUCGUCAAUUCAGGCAUCAUAAGUGCUGUAUCGCCACUGAAAUGCACAGAUACAGGAGAUUUGGAUGACAGAAAAUGCCGUUGUGUUACAGAUGUACAAGAAAAGGGGAAGAGUUGAACUACCGUAGUUGUUAUUCCUGACACUUACCAGACUGGUAAGUAUAAAUGUACAAAGGUUAUGCUGUAAAUGGGAGUUGGGGCAUUCUGUUAAGGUCUAUGUAGUAAAGAGCCUAAAAGGGAAAAUAGGGUCACCCUAAGACCCUACCACGACAAAACAUCUCAUAAAGCACAAAAUGAUACAAACAGGUGGAAGUUUAGGAAAGGUUAA